rnacentral:tRNA from 1 species
CGUUUAUGUAGAUUAUUGUUUAAAUCAUAAGGCUGUUAACUUUGAGAAGAUUUUAUAUCCUUAAACGG